UACGUAGGCAGCAAGCGUUGUUCGGAGUUACUGGGCGUAAAGGGUGCGCAGGCGGUCCUAUAAGUAUGGUGUGAAAUCUCCCGGCUUAACUGGGAGGGUGCGCUAUAGACUGUGGGACUAGAGUGUGGGAGAGGAAAGUGGAAUUCCUGGUGUGGCGGUGAAAUGCGUAGAUAUCAGGAGGAACACCGGUGGUGUAAACGGCUUUCUGGACCAUAACUGACGCUGAGGCACGAAAGCGUGGGUAGCAAACAGG
rnacentral:rRNA from 1 species